rnacentral:rRNA from 1 species
AUUGAACGCUGGCGGCAUGCCUUACACAUGCAAGUCGAACGGCAGCAUGGGUGCUUGCACCUGAUGGCGAGUGGCGAACGGGUGAGUAAUGCAUCGGAACGUACCCGGAAGUGGGGGAUAACGUAGCGAAAGUUACGCUAAUACCGCAUAUUCUGUGAGCAGGAAAGCGGGGGAGUCGCAAGACCUCGCGCUUCCGGAGCGGCCGAUGUCGGAUUAGCUAGUUGGCGGGGUAAAGGCCCACCAAGGCAACGAUCCGUAGCGGGUCUGAGAGGAUGAUCCGCCACACUGGGACUGAGACACGGCCCAGACUCCUACGGGAGGCAGCAGUGGGGAAUUUUGGACAAUGGGCGCAAGCCUGAUCCAGCCAUGCCGCGUGAGUGAAGAAGG